GACGAACGCUGGCGGCAUGCCUAACACAUGCAAGUCGAACGGCAGCGCAGAGGAGCUUGCUCCUUGGGUGGCGAGUGGCGGACGGGUGAGGAAUACAUCGGAAUCUACUCUGUCGUGGGGGAUAACGUAGGGAAACUUACGCUAAUACCGCAUACGACCUACGGGUGAAAGCAGGGGACCUUCGGGCCUUGCGCGAUUGAAUGAGCCGAUGUCGGAUUAGCUAGUUGGCGGGGUAAAGGCCCACCAAGGCGACGAUCCGUAGCUGGUCUGAGAGGAUGAUCAGCCACACUGGAACUGAGACACGGUCCAGACUCCUACGGGAGGCAGCAGUGGGGAAUAUUGGACAAUGGGCGCAAGCCUGAUCCAGCCAUACCGCGUGGGUGAAGAAGGCCUUCGGGUUGUAAAGCCCUUUUGUUGGGAAAGAAAUCCAGCUGGCUAAUACCCGGUUGGGAUGACGGUACCCAAAGAAUAAGCACCGGCUAACUUCGUGCCAGCCGCCGCGGUAA
rnacentral:rRNA from 1 species